rnacentral:rRNA from 1 species
UUCGAAGGGGGCUAGCGUUGUUCGGAAUUACUGGGCGUAAAGCGCGUGCAGGCGGCCUUUCAAGUCAGGGGUGAAAGCCCGGAGCUCAACUCCGGAAUUGCCUUUGAAACUGUCAAGCUCGAGUACGGGAGAGGUGAGUGGAAUUCCCAGUGUAGAGGUGAAAUUCGUAGAUAUUGGGAAGAACACCAAUGGCGAAGGCAGCUCGCUGGGACGGUACUGACGCUGAGACGCGAAAGCGUGGGGAGCAAACAGG